rnacentral:rRNA from 1 species
GAUGAACGCCGGCGGCGUGCCUAAUACAUGCAAGUCGAGCGAAUGGAUUAAGAGCUUGCUCUUAUGAAGUUAGCGGCGGACGGGUGAGUAACACGUGGGUAACCUGCCCAUAAGACUGGGAUAACUCCGGGAAACCGGGGCUAAUACCGGAUAACAUUUUGAACCGCAUGGUUCGAAAUUGAAAGGCGGCUUCGGCUGUCACUUAUGGAUGGACCCGCGUCGCAUUAGCUAGUUGGUGAGGUAACGGCUCACCAAGGCAACGAUGCGUAGCCGACCUGAGAGGGUGAUCGGCCACACUGGGACUGAGACACGGCCCAGACUCCUACGGGAGGCAGCAGUAGGGAAUCUUCCGCAAUGGACGAAAGUCUGACGGAGCAACGCCGCGUGAGUGAUGAAGGCUUUCGGAUCGUAAAACUCUGUUGUUAGGGAAGAACAAGUACUAGAGUAACUGCUGGUACCUUGACGGUACCUAACCAGAAAGCCACGGCUAACUACGUGCCAGCCGCCGCGGUAA